GGGAUUUUGUUAUAAUGUGAUAAGUAGAACUUGGCUAGAGCAGUGACUAUCCAUUCAGAAGGAAGUGAUGCCUAUGGGACAAUUUAACCAUAGUCAGAUUUCGUUUAGAAAGGACCAGUCACGUGUCUGUUUCAGACGCGCUACAAUUAAUGCUCGAUUUUGGCACAUUCGUUAUUGCCUUAAUCGCCUUAA
rfam:Lactobacillus sp. ASF360 genomic scaffold acMPL-supercont1.1, whole genome shotgun sequence.